rnacentral:snoRNA from 1 species
CUGCAUCUAUUCGACAGACCUGGAGCAGUUACUGUCUGCUGCCAAGGUUUCUACUACAGAUGCAAAAACAGUGUGCUUGCAAUUUCUGUCUAUCUGAUUAUGGCAGCCAAGAUUGAAUGGUGGAAUGGCGGG